AUCAAACACAUGCAAUCUCUGUUUACCAACACAAGCCCUGCAGGGGCCUCAGCUUCCAUCUCAGGAACUUGAUUCUUGUGAGGCUGUGAUUGCGUAAAUAGAAAGAGAAAGAAACAGUGAGAGAGAAUGAGUAAUAGCAGAAUGAAGUCAAAGCUCCUGUGUUACAAAGUCUGCAGACGCUACUCAUGAUUCACAGGGACACCAAGGUGUGGUAAACAGACCGAUAAACGUAAGAGCUAAAGAAUGUGAGUGGAAGUACCUCGAGCUGAGUGGGAGUGAAUAAGACAGUGGGAGGGAGCAAAACGUGGAGGUGUGGUGUUUUUAAUUCUGUCAUUGUUGUAGCGAAGCGGUUCAAAACGUUUCCUUCACACUCAGCCUCCUCUAAGGUCGAAACUGGAGCUAAAGAAGCUGUACUAUAUAGUUCACAUACAUAAUUGAAAACAAGAGGAAGUUUGGAUGGGAAGUCGUCUCGAAUCGAGUUGUGACAACGACAUGUGACAUCUUUUUCAAACUUCUGUCACUACAUAAACUGAAAGAGUUAUUAGCAGAGUACCGAUCACCAGCCACUUUCUACUCAAGCAAAAACACCAAACUUAUUUGGUUAUUAAAUACCUUUGGAUCUCUGGUCAACCUGAGGAAUUUAGGACCCUUCUUCCCUCAAGAUCAAGUCUGGGCGAGUCUAGAUGUGCGCAAACGAACUAAGAGAAGUGAAAGUUGAGGAUGCUUUACUUGAACAGCCUGAGCCGAGGGCUGACUCGCACAGCAUCACCUGUCAUGACAUCUGUAAGGACACAGACCAUCGUAAACUAGCCAUCUGCAGCAUCAUAUGUGGCCUCUCCUGCUUUGGAAUUAUGUCCCUCAAGUACUCUGUCAAGGCUCGAGAGACAAGAAAAAGACUUCAAAAUGAAGACUGUCCAGAAACACGAGAGCUGGUUAAGAAAUACUCAGAAAAGGCGUGUAAAUGGGGAAUUGGGUCCAUUGUAGCCUGGGUGGUUUUAAUUCUCAUUUUUCCAUUGCUUCUGGGAUUUCUGUCCUUUGUUGUAACCUUCAUAGAUUGACAUUGAAGAAGCUUUUCUACAGUUAAAUGAGCAACCAAAGCAAAUGAACUGUAGGAGUGCAGAAACAGACUCUUUCAGUGUUCACACCGGACACUGCAUCUAGACCAUCCACAAAUGUAACUUGAUGACAAUAGGUUGGAUAUUAAUGGUCAUCUGUUUUGAAAGGUGCUUGUCCUUAGUUUGGAUCAAAGGUCCACAACUUACUACCUAUAACAUAAGAGGAUUCAACAGUUUGCACAAAGGACUAAAUAUUAUGUGUAUGACUACUGCAACUCACUAUACUGUGGUAGUUCUAAGUCAUCAAUUGAUCGCCUUCAACUAGUUCAAAAUGCUGCUGCCAGAUUCCUUCAUAAUAGCCGCAAAAGUGCUCACAUCACUCCAAUUCUGCGGACCCUUCAUUGGCUGCCUAUUAAAUUCAGAAUUGAUUUUAAAAUUAUUUUAUUUGUAUAUAAAUCUUUAAAUGAUCUAGCCCCUAUUUAUUUAUCUGAAUUACUAUACCCAUAUACUCCAUCCAGACGCUUAAGAUCCAGUGAUCAGAAUCUUCUUCUAGUCCCACAAUCCAGACUCAAACGUAGAGGGGAUCGUGCUUUUUCAGUGGUUGGGCCGCGGCUGUGGAAUAGCCUCCCUUUAGAGAUUAGACUUGCCCCUUCUCUGUCCACUUUUAAAUCUCUUCUAAAAACAUAUGUUUUGUUUGGCUUACAAAUAAUUUUCUAUUAUGGUCUUUGCUUAGUCUUUUAUGGGUUUAUACUUCGUUUCUCUUGUGUUAUUAAUAUAUUUACUUAUUUUAUUAUUAAGGCGAGACC